rnacentral:rRNA from 1 species
GACGAACGCUGGCGGCGUGCUUAACACAUGCAAGUCGAACGGAAAGGCCCUGCUUUUGUGGGAUGCUCGAGUGGCGAACGUGUGAGUAACACGUGAUUAACCUGCCCUGGACUUUGGGAUAACUUCAGGAAACUGGUGCUAAUACCUGAUAUUAGCUCCUGCUGCAUGGUGGUUGUUGGAAAGUUUCGGCGGUUGGGGAUGGACUCGUGGCUUAUCAUCGUGUUGGUGGGGUAGUGGCUUACCAAGGCUUUGAAGGGUAGCCGGCCUGAGAGGGUGACCGGCAACAUUGGGACUGAGCUACGGGCCAGACCAGUACGGGAGGCAGCAGUGGGGACUAUUGCAUAAUGGGCGGAAGCCUCAUGCAGCAACGACGCGUGAGGGAUGACGACCUUCGGGUUGUAAACCGCUUUAGCCUGUGACGAAGCGUGAGUGACGGUAAUGGGUAAAGAAGCACCGGCUAACUACGUG